rnacentral:tRNA from 1 species
GCCGGGGUGGCGAAAUUGGCAGACGCGUUGGACUUAAAACCCAAUGGCGCAGGCCGUGCGGGUUCAAGUCCCGCCUCCGGUA